rnacentral:rRNA from 1 species
AGAGUUUGAUCCUGGCUCAGAAUGAACGCUGGCGGCGUGCUUAACACAUGCAAGUCGCACGAGAACGCUUCAGCUUGCUGGAGCUAGUAAAGUGGCGCACGGGUGAGUAACGCGUGGGUAAUCUACCUCCGAAUUGGGGAUAACACUGCGAAAGCGGUGCUAAUACCGAAUGACAUCUCAGAAACCUCGGUCUUUGAGAUCAAAGGUGGCCUCUACAUGUAAGCUACUGUUUGGAGAUGAGCCCGCGUACCAUUAGCUAGUUGGUAGGGUAAUGGCCUACCAAGGCUGCGAUGGUUAGCUGGUCUGAGAGGAUGAUCAGCCACACUGGAACUGACACACGGUCCAGACUCCUACGGGAGGCAGCAGUGAGGAAUUUUGCGCAAUGGGGGAAACCCUGACGCAGCAACGCCGCGUGAGUGAUGAAGGCUUUCGGGUCGUAAAGCUCUGUCAAGUGGGAAGAAUAUGCCCUGUGAUAAUACCAUGGGGCACUGACGGUACCACUGAAGGAAGCACCGGCUAACUCCGUGCCAGCAGCCGCGGUAAUACGGGGGGUGCAAGCGUUAUUCGGAAUCAUUGGGCGUAAAGGGCGCGUAGGCGGCCCCUUAAGUCAGAUGUGAAAGCCCUCAGCUUAACUGAGGAAGUGCAUUUGAAACUAAGGGGCUUGAGUAUGGGAGAGGGAAGCGGAAUUCCUGGUGUAGCGGUGAAAUGCGUAGAUAUCAGGAGGAACACCGGUGGCGAAGGGGCUUCCUGGACCAAUACUGACGCUGAGGCGCGAAGGCGUGGGGAGCAAACAGGAUUAGAUACCCUGGUAGUCCACGCAGUAAACUGUGAACACUAGGUGUAGCGGGUAUUGACCCCUGCUGUGCCGAAGCUAACGCAUUAAGUGUUCCGCCUGGGAAGUACGGUCGCAAGGCUAAAACUCAAAGGAAUUGACGG